CCUACGGGAGGCAGCAGUGGGGAAUAUUGGACAAUGGGGGCAACCCUGAUCCAGCCAUGCCGCGUGUGUGAAGAAGGCCCUCGGGUUGUAAAGCACUUUCAGUGAGGAAGAACGCCUGGUGGUUAAUACCCAUCAGGAAAGACAUCACUCACAGAAGAAGCACCGGCUAACUCCGUGCCAGCAGCCGCGGUAAUACGGAGGGUGCGAGCGUUAAUCGGAAUUUCUGGGCGUAAAGCGCGCGUAGGUGGCUUGAUAAGCCGGUUGUGAAAGCCCCGGGCUCAACCUGGGAACGGCAUCCGGAACUGUCAAGCUAGAGUGCAGGAGAGGAAGGUAGAAUUCCCGGUGUAGCGGUGAAAUGCGUAGAGAUCGGGAGGAAUACCAGUGGCGAAGGCGGCCUUCUGGACUGACACUGACACUGAGGUGCGAAAGCGUGGGUAGCAAACAGGAUUAGAUACCCUGGUAGUC
rnacentral:rRNA from 1 species